rnacentral:tRNA from 1 species
GGAGAGGUCGCCGCUGGCUAAGGCAGCGGUCAGCUUACUGACCGUGGUGGGUCACACCACCCGGGGGUUCGAAUCCCUUCCCUCUCCGCCA